UUUCCGUAGGUGAACCUGCGGAAGGAUCAUUAUCGAGUAAGCGACUCGCGAGCGCUAUCGCUGACCCCUCAGUCUGUUCACGCACGAUUGCCCCGGCACGCACCCAUCUCACCCCCGUGGGCAGCAUCCCUACUGUCCCCCUUGUCCGUGCUCGGCGGGAGGCUUACGUUUUAACUCAUUCUUUAUAUGUCGUGUAAAAUGUGUUUAUUGUUUUUGUAAACACAAAAUCAUUACCACUGUCAACAACGGAUCUCUUGUCUAUCGCAUCGACGAAGAACG
rnacentral:misc_RNA from 1 species